rnacentral:sRNA from 1 species
AACUUCAUUAGAUGUUUCUCAUUUUCAGUGCACACCUACUUUAGAUGGCGGAAAACUUUUGGAAACUUUCCAAACAGACGCAGGCAUUGCCUGGAAAACUGUCCGAGAAGUAAGCGGCUCUACCAUGACAGCUGUUACAAGUUUAGUUGGCAAUGACAAUGUGAAAUGUAUUCAAGUAUUUCAAAAAGUUUAACUUAAAGCCACAGCUCAAACAGUCUAAUUUGUGCAAUUCUAAGUUUUUCAUUAUUUAAAUGUUGCUUUCUAGUUUUGUUGAAAUUUAAACCUAUGCUGAGUAUUAAAUGAUGUUAAGCAGU